GGGUAGUUACCAAAGCGGUCAACUGGAUCUGACUGUAAAUCAGACGGCUUACGCCUUCGGGGGUUCGAAUCCCUCACUACCCA
rnacentral:tRNA from 1 species